UCCAGUUUUGAGACCUGAAGGUCCUGAUGAAUUAAAUACAAGUGUAAAAACAUCAGUGCUGUUACUGGGGGAUUCUGAAAAGGUGCAGCUCCAUGUGGAGAGGAAUGUGAAAAUCCAGAAAUAUUCAGCCUGAAACCUUAUACCAGCAGCCAGCAAAAGUCUCGCAGCAGGAGCUGCACUGUACUUACAAUAUUCUAGAUGGAGCUGUACCAAGAAGAGGUGAAGAUUGAAUUUUUAGGUCUGCUGGAACUACAUGAAUGAGCCUGUGUGGAGCCUCCCCUACAAAAGGGGAUCAUGUACAAGAGAUUAUGGAUUCUACAAACUGUGCAUCAAAUUUAACAAAACAAUUAAAGCUGUGCCUGUGAGGCAGGUGAUGGUGCUGUGGGGAACACAUUGAUGGAAUGUAGAAGUGGCUGUUUGAAGGAGACAUCUAAACCCUGUAAAGGAUGGGGGUGGCCAAUUAAUUCAUUUGACAGCUGGAUGUGGCUAGAUAAGCAUACCAUGUUUGUCACUUCUUGGCAGAAGUGCAGGAGCCCUGGAAGAGCUGACCAAACACUCCUUCAUUUUGUAGAGCUUUAGAAGACCCAAGAGUAGAAGCCUAGGGGGUCACUGUGGUUGCUGUGAGGUGGAAAUAAGUUUUUCCAAGGACACUCUCUAAACAUAAGGUCAAUUUCCUUUUAUUCAGAAAUUGUAGAAUCUGGUACAGGGCAUGACUGACCAACACAUAACAAGUGUGUACUUGUCCUAUCCAGCAACAGACCCGGAGAAACUCAACCCAGUGACACAAUGUGAGUCAGUCAUGCAGAAAUGUUGGGGACCAGAGUCUCUGGCUACACUGACCUUGGCUGCAGACAUGCAUGUCUCAGCUGCAUUGCUGUAGCUGCCUCUGAAGGCUCUGUUUGACUGGCAAAAUCUCAGCUACCAAUGGUAAUCCCUGGAAAGGAACUGCUCCAGCCUGACUGUCAAGCUGGCUCACAACAGCUGCAAUUAAGAAGAAACAUCCCUUACCAGUUAAGGGAGUAAACUGGAUUUGGAAUCAACAUAAUACAAUAACUUGGAUUCCCAAAACACUGUUUCUGUGGUACUUUGAGGAUUUCCAGGACAAAAAGCAAGCAGCUCUCAUGGCAGGAGGAAUGUGCUGGGUAAGACUUCCUAUUUCUGCUGCACUGGCAGGUUACAGGAGACAAGGCUCUAAAGCUGAGAAAUUUGGUGGUUUGGACCCAUGAAUUCAAAGUAGUUGGGCUCUGGGAACUUCGUGCAAGUUUGUCUGCACUGGGACCUAGGACACUUUCCCAGAGCAAUUUGAGUUACCUUCUUUGGAAAUGCAUGAAGACAAGAAUAACCUGGCAUGGCAAAGUUCUACCAGGUCACCAAGCAUUUCCUAGGGCCUGAGGAACAGGGUGGCAAAUAUGCUGAUUUCCAGCAGUUUGUGGGACAGUUAUGGAUGCACAGAAAUCUUGCCUAACCCCAUCCUUAUCUCCUGGCUUUUGUUUAUUUUUUAAACUCAGUUUAAGCAUCAGCCAUAAGAACAGUGGUGUGGCACAAGGAAUAAAGAUACACAAACUGCACUCAGUCCAACCCAAAGUACUCACCCUGCUGUGGACACAUUAGCAGGUCUGGGUACAGCAAGCAGUUGCCAUGAUCUGCAAAGGAGCCUUGAGACAUCAGCUCGCAUCAGAGAGCCUGGAUUAGAACAGUGGAGAGAAAGAAACCAGAAGUGCAUGACAAAUCAAUGGCUUUGCAAUUUGUCACUACAGCAAUGGUGAGUUCAGGUAUGCAGACCAGGCUGUCUGGUACCAACCAGCCUCAAGGCACUCUGGGCAGAUAACAUGUGCAACACAUUCUUGAAAGACACAGCCUUCAGAAAUAGCUUUCAAAUAUGUUUUCAAAAGUGGUAGGUCCUUAUUAAACUAAUGAUCCUAA